UGAGGAAUAUUGGGCAAUGCCCGCAAGGGUGACCCAGCAACGCCGCGUGGAGGAUGAAUGUCGUAAGAUUGUAAACUCCUGUUAGAGGGGAAGAAUAGUACCGGUUGGAUCGGUAUAUGACUGUACCCUCAGAGAAAGCCCCGGCUAACUACGUGCCAGCAGCCGCGGUAAUACGUAGGGGGCAAGCGUUGUCCGGAUUUACUGGGUGUAAAGGGCGCGCAGGCGGGAUAAAAAGUCAGUGGUGAAAUCUCCGGGCUUAACCCGGAAACUGCCGUUGAUACUAUUUGUCUUGAAUAUUGUGGAGGUAAGCGGAAUAUGUCAUGUAGCGGUGAAAUGCUUAGAUAUGACAUAGAACACCGAUUGCGAAGGCAGCUUACUACGCAAUCAUUGACGCUGAGGCACGAAAGCGUGGGGAUCAAACA
rnacentral:rRNA from 1 species